AGAGCGAACGCUGGCGGCAUGCUUAACACAUGCAAGUCGCACGGUUUGGGGGCAACUCCAGGCAGUGGCGGACGGGUGAGUAACGCGUAGGCAUCUAUCCAAGGGUGGGGGACAACCACGGGAAACUGUGGCUAAUACCGCAUGACGACUUUGGCCGAGAGGUUGAGGUCCAAAGGCCGUGAGGUCGCCUAUGGAGGAGCCUGCGUCCGAUUAGCUUGUUGGUGGGGUAAAGGCCUACCAAGGCGACGAUCGGUAGCUGGUCUGAGAGGAUGAUCAGCCACAUUGGGACUGAGACACGGCCCAAACUCCUACGGGAGGCAGCAGUGGGGAAUAUUGGACAAUGGGCGCAAGCCUGAUCCAGCAAUGCCGCGUGUGUGAAGAAGGUCUUCGGAUUGUAAAGCACUUUCGACGGGACGAUGAUGACGGUACCCGUAGAAGAAGCCCCGGCUAACUCGUGCCAGCAGCCGC
rnacentral:rRNA from 1 species